CAGAGUCCUCAAUAUUGAAGGCACACAAUUCCCAUCUGUUACCUAAUCAUUGUAACGUGAUUUGCUAAGGACAAUGAGUCAGACCCCCAGAGUGUUUGAUGACAAGUUCCUCAAAUACCAUAAUGAGAGGAGAAAAUCCUGUAAAACAAAUCUGAGGGUCCUGGCUGUGGAGCUGGUGGUAAUCAGAGCUGCCUUAUUCUACCACCUGUUCCACAGUCCUCACCACCUGCCAACACCUGGUUUAAACAACUGUUGUGUGAUGCAAAUCUUCAUUCUGAUGGGAAGAGAGUGUUUGAUGGGCUUGUCUUUAUUGAAUUUCUGCAGUCUUCCUUUGAACAGGGCCACUUGCCAAUGAAAUAGGAAGAUGUACGCACGAACAUAUCACUUGGCUGCCAGAGUCCUCCUUGACCCAGCAGCCCAACCUCCCUCUGGUAGUCAGGUCCCCUCUGGCAAUCAGCGCAGCCACCCUCUUCGCUGCCUGUUGUUUUAGCAGCAUGAGGAGCACAAAAUGGCCAGGGGGCAGUCACAUCUUCCAAUUGAUUGGAACUAUGAUGGGAUUCCUCACCCACACCAACUCCAAAGUCACAGGGAGCAGAAGCAAAAAUCCUUUAAGUGGGCUGUUGGUGUACUAGAGGGAGGGGGCACUCCCUUAUCCCCCCUUGUUUCAUGACCCCCUGCAUUUCAGCUAUAGUGGACAUGCUGUGAUAGACUGGCCACCGGUUUAAGACAUACAGCAUUUCCUGUUGGAUGGAAGGUUCUUGACCAGGUGGCUCACCAUGGAUCCAUGCAGAAGUGGGCCUAAGGACAUCCUGCCUCCCCCAAGGUGGACCCCUGAGGUUUUGCCACUUGAAGAAUGUCCCUAUAUCACUCUUUCAUGAACAGAGUGCUAAGCCAGCAGCCAUCCUCUUCUGUCUGGUGCCAGCCUACCAUACAGCUCCAUCCCUAAACUUGGUCUGUGCUUUCUCUCCUCUGUAAACAGAUCACAAAGGAUUCCCAUGAGCCCAUAGUUUAGGUGGAGGAAGCAGCAGGAGGAGCAGUUGCCAUGGGCGUCUGAGCCACCUGCUGGGGCUUUCACCUGUGCCCUCCAUUCCUGCUUGAGCCUCAUCCCACACACACCUUUUCCAUGGAUGAUGGAUGCUACUGUGCAUGCCCACCAUCGUGGUUUGGCAGCUGAGACAGCACCCAGUGCAUCAUGUACAGCUCAGGUCACAAUGCCCUUGGUGUUCACGGCCAGGUGUCUUUGUCAGUUUAGGCUUCUAUAACAAAAUACCAUGAUUUAUCAACAAGAGAAAUUUAUUUCUAACAGUUUUGGAGGCUGGAAGUCUGAGAUGGGGCACCUGCAUGCUAGCUUCCAGUGAGGGCCCUCCUCUGGGCUGCAGACAGCAGACUUCUCACUAUAGCUUCACAUGGCUAAAAGAGAGUCAACCAGCUCUGGCUUCUUCCCAUAAGGAUGCUGUGAUGUUUAAUUUUAUGUUCAACUUAACUGGGGAUGCUAAGGGAUGCCCAGAUAGCUGGUAAAGUACUAUUUCUGUGUAUUCUUUGUAUUUCCGGGAGGGUGUUUCCAGAAGAGAACAGCAUUUGAACCGGUGGACUGAGUAAAGACGGCCCUCACCAAUGGGAAUGGGCUGCUUCCAAUCCAUAGAGGGCCUGAACAGAGCAAAAAGGUGGAGGAAGGAGGAAUUUGCUCUCUGCUUGGGCUGGGACUUCCAUCUUCUCCUGCCCUUGGACACCGACCCUCUUGUUCUCCGGCCUUCAAACACGGACUGAGAGUCUCACGAUUGGCUCCCCUGGUUUCAG
ensembl:lncRNA